AUGGAACUUAAAGUGGGGAAAAUAGUUGGAACUGAGCAUGUGACAGCCUGGAAUGCAGUCAAGCUGUGGAACACAAAGAAAUCUAAGUGGAAAAAUCAAAGCUCCAUUUUUUUUCCCCCUGAAAUAGGAAAAAAAAAAGCAGUUGCUCUGUGGAGGGUUGGUUCGAUCAAUGGGUUGGAAGUUUUCUUUCGAGCCAGCGCUCUGUUUCCCAAAUUGAGAAAAAACAAGGAAAAGUGAGCUCUUUUAUUCUGCUUUUAGUGAAAUGGGAGCAUUAUAGCUUUGAAAGCUCUGCAGCCUGACGUCACCGGAGUGACAUGUUCUAAGUGUGAUCGAGGUGGUAUGAACCCAGACUUUGCAGUGAGAAAUACCUGCCUGUAAAAAUGUUGCCUGAAGCUUUCUUGCAUGUAUAGAGCCUGAUUGUUCAUUUCGAGAACUGUUUUAGGAACAAUUAUCUUGAACAAAGGGCAAGCGGGUAUCACCCGUGAAAUAAAAUCUGCCAAGGUGUCUGUGGGAACA
rnacentral:lncRNA from 1 species